rnacentral:rRNA from 1 species
UCUGACCUCAAAUCAGGUAGGACUACCCGCUGAACUUAAGCAUAUCAAUAAGCGGAGGAAAAGAAACUAACAAGGAUUCCCCUAGUAACUGCGAGUGAAGCGGGACAAGCUCAAAUUUGAAAUCUGGCGGUUCUGCCGUCCGAGUUGUAUUCUGGAGAAGCGUCUUCCGCGCCGGACCGUGUACAAGUCCCUUGGAACAGGGCGUCACAGAGGGUGAGAAUCCCGUCUCUGACACGGACCCCCGGUGCUAUGCGAUGCGCUCUCGAAGAGUCGAGUUGUUUGGGAAUGCAGCUCAAAAUGGGUGGUAAMUYCCAUCUAAAGCUAAAUAUUGGCGAGAGACCGAUAGCGAACAAGUACCGUGAGGGAAAGAUGAAAAGCACUUUGGAAAGAGAGUAAAACAGUGCGUGAAAUUGUDAAAAGGGAAACGCUWAAADUCAGUCGCGUCUGCGGAACUCAGCCKUGGCUUCUGCKUGGGGCACUUUCCGGGUCCGACGGGCCAGCAUCGGUUUCGAGCGGSGGACACUGGCGAGGGRAAAGGUGGCGGCUCCGGCCGUGUUAUAGCCCCACGUCGSGAACGCCGCCCGGGACCGAGGAAUCCGGCGCAAGCCUGGGAYGCUGGCGUAAUGGCUUUAAACGCCCCSUCUUGAAACACGGACCAAGGAGUGCUACGUGCUCGCGAGUGUUUGGGUGGAAAACCCGGACGCGCAAUGAAAGUGAAAGUCGAUACCCUUCACGGGGGCACCGACGCCCGAGCCUGAUGUUUUCGGAAGGCCUUGCGGUAGAGCGAGUGCGUUGCGACCCGGAAAGAUGGUGAACUAUUCCUGAGGAGGGCGAAGCCAGAGGAAACUCUGGUGGAGGCUCGUAGCGGUUCUGACGUGCAAAUCGAUCGCAGGACUUGG